AGAACGAACGCUGGCGGCAUGCCUAAUACAUGCAAGUCGAACGAACACUUCGGUGUUAGUGGCGCACGGGUGCGUAACGCGUGGGAAUCUGCCCUUGGGUUCGGAAUAACAGUUGGAAACGACUGCUAAUACCGGAUGAUGACGAAAGUCCAAAGAUUUAUCGCCCAGGGAUGAGCCCGCGUAGGAUUAGCUAGUUGGUGAGGUAAAGGCUCACCAAGGCGACGAUCCUUAGCUGGUUUCUGAGAGGAUGAUCAGCCACACUGGGACUGAGACACGGCCCAGACUCCGUACGGGAGGCAGCAGUAGGGAUAUGGACAAUGGGCGCAAGCCUGAUCCAGCAAUGCCGCGUGAGUGAUGAAGGCCUUAGGGUUGUAAAGCUCUUUACCGAGAUGAUAAUGACAGUAUCGGAGAAUACGACCCCGCUAACUCCGU
rnacentral:rRNA from 1 species